UACAGAGGUCCCAAGCGUUGUUCGGAUUCACUGGGCGUAAAGGGUGCGUAGGUGGUGAGGUAAGUCUGAUGUGAAAGCUCGGAGCUUAACUCCGAAAUGGCAUUGGAAACUGCCUUGCUGGAGGGUUGGAGGGGGGACUGGAAUACUUGGUGUAGCAGUGAAAUGCGUAGAUAUCAAGUGGAACACCAGUGGCGAAGGCGAGUCCCUGGACAACUCCUGACACUGAGGCACGAAAGCUAGGGGAGCAAACGGG
rnacentral:rRNA from 1 species